GACAGAGGAUGCAAGCGUUAUCCGGAAUGAUUGGGCGUAAAGCGUCUGUAGGUGGCUUUUCAAGUCCGCCGUCAAAUCCCAGGGCUCAACCCUGGACAGGCGGUGGAAACUACCAAGCUGGAGUACGGUAGGGGAGUGGGGAAUUCCUGGUGUAGCGGUGAAAUGCGCAGAUAUCAGGAGGAACACCGGUGGCGAAGGCGCCACUCUGGGCCGAAACUGACGCUGAGGAGCGAAAGCGUGGGUAGCAAACAGG
rnacentral:rRNA from 1 species